UCAUCCAAUCAUAUUGACACCACGCGUUUCAAACAACCAAUCAUAUUGAACCACGUGUAUUAAAAACAACAACAUUUAAUUGAUAUUCUUUUUCACUUUUCUUUUAAUUUUUAUUAAUUAAAAGUAAUAAACUUUUAUUUGAUUAAUGAAUCAACUUUUUCAAUUUUAUUUUCUUCAUUUUAUAUUUUUUCCAUCCUUUUUCUCCCAACACCAUCACCGUUCAAGCCCUAUCUUGCUCCAUCAAAACACUUUUACCCUUUUAGCUUCAUUUUCCUUCUCAAACCAAGAUAAACUCUCCCUUGAAACCCUAGAGUUGCUUCGUCGCCACCGUCGUUAGGAUCUACUUCCGGUGUCUUUUUGCCCCGAUUUUAACGAUGAAAUGCCUCCUCGCUCUUUUUACCGGCUCGAUUCUCCCUGAAACUCCACCACUGAAGUGCUAUCUUAAAACCUAGAAAUAGGUGGUAACACGUUUCAUUGGGCGGCCAACGACGAUGGAGUUCGGCGACAAAGCAGCGGCAGCAGUGCAAGGCAGCCAAAGAAUAAGGGGAAGAUAACGGGGAGAAAAGGGGAGAGCUUUGGACAUCAAAGAAGACCGUCAACGGCAAGACGCAACAAUGGCGGUGGCGCAAUAAGAGUAAUGGCUAGGGUUCUUAAAAAGAAUGAAUUAAUAUUUUUAAUUAAUAAAAUUUAAAAGAAAAUUGAAAAAAUCAAUUAAAUGAUUCUUUUUCCUUUUUUAAUACACUUGGCAUAAUAUGAUUGGGUGAGAAGAAAAAUUAACUUGUAAAAAAAAAUACUAAAUUCAGUUGUGAUUUCUAAA